rnacentral:rRNA from 1 species
AUUGAACGCUGGCGGCAGGCCUAACACAUGCAAGUCGAACGGUAACAGGAUUAGCUUGCUAAUUGCUGACGAGUGGCGGACGGGUGAGUAAUGCUUAGGGAUCUGCCUUUAGGAGGGGGAUAACCAUUGGAAACGAUGGCUAAUACCGCAUAAUGUCUUUGGACCAAAGGGGGCUUUCGGGCUCUCACCUAGAGAGGAACCUAAGUGAGAUUAGCUAGUUGGUGAGGUAAAGGCUCACCAAGGCGACGAUCUCUAGCUGUUCUGAGAGGAAGAUCAGCCACACUGGAACUGAGACACGGUCCAG